GCUCGGGCCUGGGCGGCCUCUGCGGCCUCCUCUGCCUCCUGGAGCCUGGCUGCCAGCUUGCGCCUGUGUGUAGAGCAAAUGAUUGGCUCUUCUGUUUAUGACAUCACACAUGUUAUACCAUAACAACUUUCAACAAGGUGGAUACGGGGAUUGUCACCUCUGCUUGAACUCAGGGUACUGCAGCCUGUUGGGGAAACCCUUUCUGCAAAUACGGAUCCCCUCCAGCACACCGUUACAGGCCAGCUGGUGCAGGACGAGAUAAACUUACAUCAGUGAGCAUCAGCUCCUCUCCAUCGUCCAUAUUGUCCACCACAGUCACCCCCUGGCAGAUCCAGGAAUAGUGUUUGGGGUCUGGAUGCAGCAGCAGUGCCUCUGCAAA